rnacentral:rRNA from 1 species
CUCCGACUCAGAGUAGUUUGAUCAGUGGCUCGAGGACGAACGCUGGCGGUGUGCUUCACACAUGCAAGUCGAACGAGGUAGCAAUACCUAGUGGCGGACGGGUGAGUAACGCGUGGGAAUCUGCCUUUAGAUGGGGGAUAACGGGUCGAAAGACUCGCUAAUACCGCAUAUGACGAAAGUUGAAAGGAGUAAUCCGUCUAAAGAUGAGCCCGCGUCCGAUUAGCUAGUUGGUAGAGUAAAAGCCUACCAAGGCGACGAUCGGUAGCUGGUCUGAGAGGAUGAUCAGCCACAAUGGGACUGAGACACGGCCCAUACUCCUACGGGAGGCAGCAGUGGGAAUUUUACGCAAUGGGCGAAAGCCUGACGUAGCGACACCGCGUGAGCGAAGAAGCCCCUUGGGGUGUAAAGCUCUGUCAGCUGGAACGAAAAAAUGACGGUACCAGCAGAGGAAGCAUCGGCUAACUACGUG